rnacentral:lncRNA from 1 species
GGUGGUGAGCAUUCUGGCAAGAGUAAAGAGGUAGUAUCCGAGAAUUAAGAAUUAGAGUAUCCUGAAUUCGAUUCCCAUUACAGUGAGUAACCUUAUUAUCGUCUUAAUUAUCUAAAGUAUGUUUUUAUCUGAUUUUGUAAUUUUAUGGAAAAUGUGUUUAAAUGAAAUGAUUUUAUAAAUUGUUUUGAAAUUUAAUGAUGACUUGAAAAUAGAGUAAUUGGAGACUACUUGCUGUAUUGUAAAUUAUGUUCUGAAUUGAAUGGCUUAUGAUAAUGUGGGCAUGAAUGGUUGGAUGGGUAUUUGUGUUGAAAAUGCAUAAACUGUUGUUUGCCUUGAUAGGGUAGAUAAUGAUAAAAUUACCAUGUCAUGCUGUUGAAUUUUAUUGAAUUGGUGGGUUAUAGAUUGGUCACUACAGUGGCUGGUUCUGUGGACCAGCCUUUUUGAGGGGCACGAAAUUUAGGUAUAUUCUUACCUCGGUUGAGGAGGCGCAUAGGGUAACUCUUGAGGAAAAACUUUAGAGUUCACUUCACGCCAAACCACCAUGUGAGGGUGAACUCAACCAACGCCAAGGAACGACUAUGUUUUCAAAAUAAAAACAUGAUUUAUGUGUACAUAACUUUUUAAUAGCCUUGACGAACUCGAUUGGGAUAGCCCCAGGCCAAGGUAUCCUUGACAACUGAGUAUGAGAAUGAUUUUGGCACAAGCCAAGCUUUUCAGGAAAUCAUAAGCCUCGUUGUUUAUUUGGGUGAAAUGAAUCUAUUUUAUCUUAUUAAAAUAAGUUCGAAAUGCUGUGAAUCAUUUUUAUGCUAAUCUAUUUUAUCUGUCUCCAUUUACUCAGCUUUAGAUAUUUUAGAUGAUAUUUGUUUACUCACUAGGAUUAUAUAAUCUCACCACCCUCCUUUUCACCCAUUUCAGGCUCAAGAUAGUCGGUAGAUUGCUCAUUUCAUUGAGGGCUACAGUUGGACUUGCAUCCUCAAAAACUGUAGAUUCACAACCUUCAUUACUUUUAGUCAUUCGGGGCCCCACAUGUCAUUGUUAAAUGUUUUGAAUACCUGGAUGCGUGUGCUACUGUAUGUAAGAAUUUAUUUUACUUUUACGCUGUAAAAUUUAUUUACGUAAAGUUCUAUAAAAAUUGUUUUAUGAAAAAUUAGAAUAUUUUAUUCAUUAUUUUUAUUUUAUUUCAU